CUUCAGUGAUGAUUUGAUGACGAGUCGGACAUUCUCCUCUCGUGCCCCAGUCGGCGGAAGGAGCUGCGUUCUGCCGCUGCUUUUGCUGUUGGGUUCUCAUGAGAAAGUUGUGUGAAGAGUCUUGAGGCAUUUGUCUGAGAAGA
ensembl:snoRNA SNORD15 Small nucleolar RNA SNORD15